UACGGAGGGUGCAAGCGUUAAUCGGAAUUACUGGGCGUAAAGCGUGCGCAGGCGGUUUGUUAAGUCCGUUGUGAAAGCCCCGAGCUCAACUUGGGAAUUGCAGUGGAUACUGGCAGGCUGGAGUACGGUAGAGGAAGGUGGAAUUCCCGGUGUAGCAGUGAAAUGCGUAGAUAUCGGGAGGAACACCAGUGGCGAAGGCGGCCUUCUGGACCAGUACUGACGCUCAUGCACGAAAGCGUGGGAGCAACAGG
rnacentral:rRNA from 1 species